CAAACGGAUUUUAGUUUAUAUACAUGUUUACAUUCUAUACAUAACGUCAAAAAUGAAAGUGGGUUUUUCCCGGAAUAAAUAUCCGCCUAUCAGAUUUAACCAAUAUUUCGGCCAUUACAAGUUGACAGUACAUAGUGCAUACUACUUUCAUUUGGACUAAAUACAAACUAAAGGGGUCCGACAAAUGGAUGGGUUGGGCCGAAAGGUGGAUGGAUUAAGUAAACUUGCUUUUGAUUUACUAAGUGUAUGGAGGUACAACAAAAGGAUAACAACAACUUGGGAAGAAACAAGGAAGGGGCCCACAUGGUUCAAACAAGUGUAUUGCAGACAGCCUGGUUUGGUGAUUAUUAACAAAAACAAAGUUUAUCCAAGUAUUCUUACACCGUUUGAUCCAGAUCUUUCUAACUAUUAUCAAUAUUCUUGAAAUCAAUGCAUGGUCACUUUCAUUUCAAUAACUAGUUUUCAACCGUAGUUUUUGCAAACACGAAAAUAUCGAUGGUUUUUAAGCAUGACUAUUUUCCCAAUUUAAACUUAGAAGUAGAAUGUUCAGUAGUCAGCGAAAGCAAUCAGAAGAAAGACACACUUUUCAGAAGCGAAAAUGUGUGUUUUGCGUGUCUAUUUUUAUUUUCCUUGAGGAGCAUCUAAGGGCAGAUGAACGCAAUUACCGAAAAGGCCUUUACCAUAUUUAUAGUUUAACAAUAGUUUAUUCUUGUUUUUGUUGACUCUCAGAUUUGCCUGAAAGGAAAAUUUUAUCAUACCAAUGCAUUUCUUGAUAUUUGAAAUAAUUUUGUGAUGAAGACAUUUUACGGAUUUGUUGGCCUACAAGUAGGUGAAAAUAUGUAUAUACACAGAACUAUUCGAAAAUAGUCUUGUAUUUGUUAACAGUUAACAGAGAAUGCGAUGUUAUCUUGCCUCCUACAAGUUUCUUGCAUUUCUAUUGGUCAAUAGACGUCACGUGGAGACAGGAUAUAUUCCAUAUCCUGCUAGUAUCAGAUAUGAAUUUUGAUCAAAACAAAAUGGCUGCCACACUGCUGGCGUAAUUGAAUCAAGUCUAUUUAUUUAUUAGCUCCAACGAUAGUAUCGUUUCCGAGAGUAAAUUUAGUGUUUUCUUGCCGAUUUCAUUCUAUAUCUAAGUUGAGGCUCAUGAAGUUUGACAAAAUUAGCCGUAAUUUAAGCGGAAAUAACUCUGUAUGGGAUAACAGACGUUGAAAUCUUGUUUUGGAAGUUAAAUAGUUAAAUCAUCGUGAAAUAAAGGAAUUGACAUACUUGUUACUCAGCAGUUUGUUGUAGGAUCAUUUAAUCUACGUGCAAGAUAAAUGAUUUAACAGGAAACGGGGUGAAAGCCGAAGUAUCAAGACAUUUAUGACAUCGUGAUAUCCGGUAACUUUCGAAGGGAUGAACAAGAAGUUGUUUAGUGUUUAUAAACAAAACCAGUUCAUAACCUGUGUAAAUGAGCUUUUGUGUUUUGUGAUUUAACCAAAACACAGGUCAUUGUGCAUUUUAUGGCUGGUGUAAAUCAACUAGUGAUGACCAAACAAAUGAUUUGUAGGAUUCCAGUCUGCACUGUAAGUAGCUUUGGUAUUUUACAAAAUUUGUUGAUUAUAGCAUGUAAGUAAAGGGUA